GAUGAACGCUGGCGGCGUGCCUAAUACAUGCAAGUCGAGCGAACAGAUGAGAAGCUUGCUCCUCUGACGUUAGCGGCGGACGGGUGAGUAACACGUGGAUAACCUACCUAUAAGACUGGGAUAACUUCGGGAAACCGGAGCUAAUACCGGAUAAUAUAUUGAACCGCAUGGUUCAAUAGUGAAAGACGGUUUUGCUGUCACUUAUAGAUGGAUCCGCGCUGCAUUAGCUAGUUGGUAAGGUAACGGCUUACCAAGGCAACGAUGCAUAGCCGACCUGAGAGGGUGAUCGGCCACACUGGAACUGAGACACGGUCCAGACUCCUACGGGAGGCAGCAGUAGGGAAUCUUCCGCAAUGGGCGAAAGCCUGACGGAGCAACGCCGCGUGAGUGAUGAAGGUCUUCGGAUCGUAAAACUCUGUUAUUAGGGAAGAACAAAUGUGUAAGUAACUAUGCACGUCUUGACGGUACCUAAUCAGAAAGCCACGGCUAACUACGUG
rnacentral:rRNA from 1 species